CCGCGGACGGCGCCUGCGCACACGCCGCGGCGCGGAAGACGCGAAAUAACCUGUGCCCGGAGAUCCCGCUUACACAGAGUGUGACAUCCGGCAGAACGGUGCAAGCCUGGAAUCUCCAUGAGGGCAAAGACCAUAGUGUCCACUGUUGCAUUUCCAUCUUCUAGAACAUUGCAUGGCCUGUGGCCGUUGCCCAAGAUACUUGUUGAAUGAAGGGAUGACCGAGGCGCCGUGUUUCAGGAGGCGGAGGCCGUCACCCUGCUGAGGGGAGUGUAAAAUCCUACCACCUCCUUGGAAAGCAAUGUGGUAGUAACUAUUGAAGUUGAUGAAAAAGUUGUGGACAUCGUGACGGGUUGUACAACAUUGUGAAUGCACUUAAUGCCACUGAACUGCAUAGUAAAUUUUAUAUUUUACCACCAAAAAACCCACAGUUUUGGAGCUGCCACAGCAAUGUAAGAGAUCAACUUUUUUUACUUCCAAAGUUUACUUCUUGAACACCAUUUGUAGGAGAUUUGUACAAAGUAGCCUGUGAAGGGAAUAUUUUAUUUGCAAGACUGACUCCUGGUUAGCAGCCGGCAGGCCCAGGAAUGCAGACUUACCACAUGGCCACAGCUACAGGCAAGAUGACCCGAUCCUGUGGGGACAUCUUUUUUUCUGGGUGCUUCUGUCCCAUUCACAGUGAGAGAGGGAGCGGGAGAAGCAGGCUCCCCUCCAAGAAAUGAGCCGGAUGCGGGGCUCAAUCCCAGACCCUGGGACCAUGACCCGAGCAGAAGACAGAUGCUUAACUGACUGAACCACCCAGGAACCCCUUCUCUGUGUUUGCUGUUAAGCUUCAAUUUGCAGGACAAUCAUGAUACUUUUUUUUUUUUUAAAUUUUCCUGGUUUUUUGACCAGUUGCUCUCAGAACUUAGGAAAAUGUAUACAUUUCCCAAGAAAUGCUGAGAAGGCAUUCCUACGCGUGCACACUAGAAAGAACCACAAGAGGCACCAGGAAGAGGCGCUGGAAGAAAAUGGAGCAUGAAAGCCAAGUUAUGAGAGCACUUCAGUAGGAGAACUAAGAUAAAUAAUAAAAAUUAUUGAUUUGCUAACUAGGCCCUGAGGUGUCUUAAAGGACAGUUUCGGUGCUGUAGUUCGUCGGAUAGCAGCCGGCUUUGGAGGCAGACCUGGCUGGGAAUCCUGGCUCUUAGGUUUACCAGGUACGUGAUUCUGGACAGGUUAUUUAGUAUUACCAGUGAGCCUCAGUUCCCUCCUCCAUUAAAGGGAAAUAAUACCUACUGUCAGGUGUGCAAUUUAAGAUUACCUGUUGUUUCAUGGAUGCUGGCAGAAGACAAGAGAUGCCAGUGUCAUGGACAAAAGGCCUUAUUCAUGGUACAAGCCAAGUGAGACUCAUGUAUGUAUUGGCUCUUUUGCCUCCCAAGCCCCACAGGCAACAAGGAGGGGCCCGAUGCAUGCCGGGCACACAGCGAGUGGCACUGUGGAGGAGGAGCAAUGAACUUGGGGAACCUGGUGCUUUAUGGUCAGGAGUAAGCAAGCUGCUCUUUGUCCCACAUAGAGACGCUCCUUCUCCCUCACGGUUGCUUAAUGCAAACCCAACCCGAAGAAACGGCUGGGGCAGAGCUAACGAGUUGUCAGGGCCUUGUCUCUCCCCCCAUACAGCCUAGGUUAUAGCUCACUAGAGGAAAAGCAUACAGAUGAAAAUCAGCCAAGGAGAAAGGUGCAUGGGGCAAAGUCUAGGAGAAACCAGACACGAACUUACAAACUUGCAGGUGUCCUUGUCCUAUAGAGUUGCCCUUUAUUCUCCCAACGACGCGUGACAAUAUGUGUGAACUGUUGCCCAGCAGAGAAACUCACCCAAGCCUUGGUGUCUAGGGUUUUUAUUGGGGAGUCAGUUACACAGACAUGGAGACUCACAUGACUGACCUCAGCUGCUCAGACUCUGUCUCCCAGAGCAAAGACAGGCAUUCAUCAUAAACCACACUGUUAGGAUGAACUCAUCUGGUCAGACUGGUGCUGCAUGACUCGAGGCCUCCAGGGUACAGGAACACCCUCAUCAGGCAAAAUAGUACAAGGGCUCAGAAUUUACCUCCCAGGAAGGCGCCAGGUGCUAGUCCUGAAGAUGAGCUUUCUUUGGAACGUGCAGGGUUUGAGCAGCCCGGGCCUGCUGAGCUAGUCCUUUUCUGCACACGCCUGAUCUUCAUGAGGCCACCGCCUGGUGAACUACAGUGAUGUUUUGGGUCUCCAAGAAUUAGGACGUGUCUAGAUCCAAUGUCCAGUAAGCCCUGAAAACUCUAGUUACUUCCCCUUUUCCCGUGCCCUGCCACCCUGGGAAAUGGCUGCAGGUGCAUUCAGAAAAGGCUAGAAGGAACGUAUACAGCAUGUCUUCGCCAAUAUAACGUAGUCCUUCAUCAAGGGACUCAACUUUUCCUCAUUCAGGAGCCUCUAGGUCUGGAAUCCGCUCGUCUGACCAUUUGUUGAAGGCAAGGCCUUGCAUUUUUGGCAAAAACAGCAAGAUAUGGGGCGGUGCGAGAGACACAUGGAAGCACAACUACUUUGUGUGGUUCACAUUACAUGGGAAUGUAUGUAAAGUGCUUUACACAGUACCGGGCCCAUGGUAAAUGCUCAGCACGGUGGCUAUAAUACUGUUGCAGCAGGCCAAAGAACACAGUGAAUGCAGCCUACUGUUUCAAGAAAGCUAGCCUCAGUCGGUAGACCAUGCAAUUCUUGAUGUUGGGGCCGUGAGUUCGAGCCCCAUGUGGAGUGUAGGGAUUACUUAAGAAUAAAAUCUUAGGGGCGCCUGGGUGGCUCAGAGGGUUAAGCCUUUCCCUUCAGCUGGGGUCAUGAUAUCAAGGUCCUGGGAUCAAGCCCCGCAUCAGGCUCUCUGCUUGGCGGGGAGCCUGCUUCCCUCUGUCUGUCUGUCUACUUUUGAUCUCUCUUUCUCUGUCAAAUAAAUAAAAUCUUUUAAAAAAUAAAAUCUUAAAAGACA